rnacentral:rRNA from 1 species
GACGAACGCUGGCGGCGUGCUUAACACAUGCCAGUCGAACGGAAAGGCCCUGCUUUCGUGGGGUGCUCGAGUGGCGAACGGGUGAGUAACACGUGAGUAACCUGCCCUUGACUUUGGGAUAACUUCAGGAAACUGGGGCUAAUACCGGAUAGGAGCUCCUGCUGCAUGGUGGUGGUUGGAAAGUUUCGGCGGUUGGGGCUGGACUCGCGGCUUAUCAGCUUGUUGGUGGGGUAGUGGCUUACCAAGGCUUUUACGGGUAGCCGGCCUGAGGGGGUGACCGGCGACAUUGGGACUGAGAGACGGCCCAGACUCCUACGGGAGGGAGCAGUGGGGAAUAUUGCACAAUGGGCGGAAGCCUGAUGCAGCAACGCCGCGUGCGGGAUGACGGCCUUCGGGUUGUAAACCGCUUUCGCCUGUGACGAAGCGUGAGUGACGGUAAUGGGUAAAGAAGCACCGGCUAACUACGUG